CAGACGACAUGUGCAUCAAAGAUCUAGCAAUAUACAAUUCUCGGAUUACGAUCUCAACCAUGAUCAAGCUAGUGCUUAUCAAAGAUAAGUAGUUUCUGAACAACAUCAAGAGAUAUGUUUGAAAUUUUCAUUUUUUUUUUAGUCAUGGAAACAAAUUUCAUAUUGCAUAGACCCCGGGUUUCCAUUCUGAUAUUAUAAAUGUGUUAUAUUACGUAGAACUAAACAUAAUUCCAACAAGUUCAACCCUUUUCCAUUUUCAACCCCUUAAUUUUAUGGUCAGAAGGUGGUAAAACUGUUUAUUUCCUAAGUUUAAAUUUAUUUCAAUAUUUGGUAUAUUUGUACUAGAAUUAGAUACUCAUGGAAAAGAUACAGCCAUCAGCCAUCAACCAAGAGAUCAUCCGGAAUCUAUGUUUAAUAGAUAAGAUAAGUAUAAUUAAAAUAGGAUGACAGACGUAUAAUAUACUGAUUAUGGCUAAACAUAAUAACAUAAAAUAAAAUUUUUGUACUUCGUAGUUUCAGAGAAUUCUUAGUCAGUUUAGUAUGAAUCAACAUUACCUCUUUUCGGAGCAGGCGGCUAUUUUGUGACGUUUUGCAUGGUUUUUUUUUAACACCAUCUAUAGUAUGUAUUUUGCUGGAAUAGGGGGUCAGCUUGCAUAAUAUAAUGUAAAAUUGAUGAAUUUACAUUUCCAAUGAUUUUUCCUUUGAUAUCUUUACAAAUUGUAAUGAUAGCCAUUUCCUCAUGAAUGCGUUGCAGUUGUGAAAAAUGUGCGUAUGAAUCUUGAUGAAUAUAGUACGUCUAUUUUUUGCAGAAGGGAAUUCCGACAGAAACGAAAUUAGAAUGUAAAUACAAAAAAAAAUUCAGGUUUGAAAAUACACGAGAGUAUGAACUGCAAUACUUCACGCUGGCAUACAUUUCGUGAAGCGCAAGGUAAUGCGUUUUAUGACGUUUUAUGACGUAUGCUGAUGUGAAGCGUCGCAGUUACAUGCAUAAUACCCUCAUUCAUUUUCAAAAAAUUAAAUCGAUUUCUUAAAUGCCCAAUGUUUACUAGUCUCCUGACCCAUAUAUAUUUUUUCUGUGUGUACAACUAUAUUUUAUUGCGUCAUUUACAUUAUAAAUAACAAGUUUUAAUGCAAUUGGUUUUAGGUUUUACCUACCACAAGUAAACCCAAAGUUACAAACGAAAGUCUUCUUGACAAGGUUGUCCUAACGUUGGAACAUGGAUUUACAUUACGGGACACUUUUACUGUACUGAAGUUCACACAGAAGCUGGUGUUUGUACAGAAAAUCUAGGUUUCCGAAGUUUCACCCAUUGUAUAACCCUGUGUGUGAUUGUGAGAAAUGUACAGAAUGAACCAAAAGACCGUCCAGAAAAACAGUUCUUCUAGGACAACGAACUAAAGAAAUAAUGCCGGGGGAGGAUAUGAUAUAUAAAUGUCAUGACCAAACACGAUAACGUGAAAGGAUUUUUUUAAAUACUUUUUAUGAUUUGUAGGCAUUAAAAAACUGC